rnacentral:rRNA from 1 species
CCCCUAGACGUUCUGGGCUGCACGCGCGCUACAAUAAUACGCACAGCGAGUGUCACCGAGCUCGAAAGGGCAAGGUAAACAAUAGAAAAGGUACUGUAAUGGUUAUAGAUCCUUGUAAUUAUUGAUCUUCAACGAGGAAUUCCUAGUAAGUAUGUGUCAUCAUCACGCACUGAUUACGUCCCUGCCCUUUGUACACACCGCCCGUCGCUCCUACCGAUUGGGUGAGCCGAUGAAACUCUCGGAUGUAGGCUAUUCAUAGCCCGCAGAAGAGAUUUGAAUCGUAGCGCUUAGAGGAAGGAGAAGUCGUAACA